CCAGGUGCUGAGGAAGGAUUAGCAAGAAGUUUUUAAAAAGCACAUCACCCACUGCAAGAGAACUGCAGGCAAGAGGCUCCAGCUACUGCAGGCAGGACAGGAUGAAUGGGUAGACUACAAAGAAUCUACAAACCCAGUCAGCCUGAAUACCUGCCUUGCCCCGAGAGGAGGAGUUCUGCUUGUAACAGUUCUGGCCAGACAGCCUGAAGUCCACACUUGCACACCACUUUGCAGUUGGUCUGGCCAUGUGACAGUGAAUAACCAAUGACCAUGAGCACAAGUACUAGGAAUGGCAGGUGAAAGAUGACCCACCCCUUCCUCCGCAUUGCUAACAAAGGAGACUGUGUAUCCUGGAAGAAGACAUCAUGUGAGUUUCUGAAUAAACAAAAGUAUUACACAAGCUCAAGUUUACAUCUUGGUGGCAGAUCAACAGCCCACCAGCACCUGGGACCCCACAGGCAGGGCUGGCUAGGAUGCCCCUCAGUUGGGCUACCCAUUAAACUGACCUCCUUCUCAUGGAUCUCAGGGAU
rnacentral:lncRNA from 1 species